GUUUGAUCAUGGCUCAGGACGAACGCUGGCGGCGUGCCUAAAACAUGCAAGUCGAACGCGAUGGCCCUUCGGGGCCUGGGAGUGGCGAACGGCGGAGUAAUACGUAAGCAACGUGCCCUGAAGUCAGGGAUAUACCGGGGAAACCCGGGGCAAUACCGGAUGUGGCCGCGACCCGGCAUCGGGACGCGAUUAAACGGUUUUUCGCUUCAGGAGCGGCUUACGGCCUAUCAGCUAGUUGGCGGGGUAACGGCCCACCAAGGCUUCGACGGGUAACUGGUCUGAGAGGACGACCAGUCCGAGUGGGACUGAGACACGGCCCACACACCUACGGGUGGCAGCAGUUGGGAAUCUUGCACAAUGGGGGAAACCCUGAUGCAGCGACGCCGCGUGGAGGACGAAGGAUCUAGGUCUGUAAACUCCUUUUGCCAGGAAAGACUUAGGACGGUACCUGGCGAAUAAGCUCCGGCUAACUACGUGCCAGCAGCCGCGGUAAUACGUAGGGAGCGAGCGUUGUCCGGAUUUACUGGGCGUAAAGGGCGCGUAGGCGGCCUGCUAAGCGUGAAGUGAAAUCUCCAGGGCUCAACCCGGAAACUGCUUUGCGAACUGGCUGGCUAGAGGAAGGCAGAGGUGAAUGGAAUUCCUGGUGUAGCGGUGACAUGCAUUGAUAUCAGGAGGAACACCCGUGGCGAAGGCGGUUCACUGGGCCUUAUCUGACGCUGAGGCGCGAAAGCGUGGGUAGCAAAUAGGAUUAGAUACCCUGGUAGUCCACGCCCUAAACGAUGGACACUAGGCGUCGGGGGUAUCGACCCCCCCGGUGCCGCAGCUAACGCAAUAAGUGUCCCGCCUGGGGAGUACGGCCGCAAGGUUGAAACUCAAAUGA
rnacentral:rRNA from 1 species